rnacentral:lncRNA from 1 species
CUCAAACUUCCUAGUGCUGCUUCUUUUUGCUCUAUUUGCCAUUCCUCAGGGUCUUGCCAAUUAUGAGAAGCCUCCGGUUUACCAACCACCGGUGUAUAAGCCACCAGUUGAGAAACCCCCGGUCUACAAACCCCCUGUAGAAAAGCCACCAGUAUAUAAGCCACCAGUAGAGAAGCCUCCAGUUUACAAACCACCGGUGUACAAGCCACCUGUGUACAAACCCCCAGUAGUGAAACCCCCAGUCUACAAACCUCCUGUUUACAAGCCACCGGUGUACAAGCCACCAGUUUACAAACCACCAGUAGAGAAGCCCCCAGUUUACAAGCCACCUGUAUACAAACCCCCAGUAGUGAAACCCCCAGUCUACAAACCUCCUGUUUACAAGCCACCAGUUGAGAAGCCUCCAGUUUACAAGCCACCAGUAGUGAAGCCACCUGUUUACAAGCCCCCAGUCUACAAGCCACCAGUAGUGAAGCCACCUGUAUACAAGCCUCCAGUCUACAAGCCACCCGUUUACAAGCCUCCAGUUGAGAAGCCUCCGGUCUACAAGCCACCUGUUUACAAGCCCCCAGUUGAGAAACCUCCAGUCUACAAGCCACCGGUUUACAAGCCUCCAGUCGAGAAGCCACCAGUUUACGGACCUCCUCACCACCCAUAGGACUCUCGGAUGCUUUUAAGUAAAUAAGUUAAAUAAGAGAUAUAUAAUGUUUCCAAAGCAAGGAUUAUAUAUUCUUGGAAUCUUCAUUUUAGUCUUUUGUUUACAAAUCCUAUUACCAAGAUAAGAAUGUGAAAGAAAAUGGUGCAUUUGUACUCCAAGUUAUGAAUAAGAACGUUGUGAUUUAGCACUUUUUAAUUUGUGUUGGUUGACUAAAUUGGACAUAGUAUAUAUAUACUCUACUUAAUACUCUGUCAUAUCAGUAAGGUGCAUGAAAGUUCAAUUUUCUGUAGUAGACAUAACGAAUAAUUAAUUUAUGUUUGAAUCUAGAAUUUACUAAACUUCACGUACUUGGAAUUUCAUUGCAUUAUAGCUUGACUCAGUAGUAGCUUUAGUGAAAAAUGAUUUUGGUGCUUAAAAUUUUAAGAGUUGGAGUUUGGACAAAUUAUACACUCAUAUAAUUUAGUUAUCUUUUCAAAUUUACAAUUACAAUUUUCAAGGUUCUAUAUUUGUGUUGAUGCACCAAUUAAGAGAAUGAUCAAGAAAAUUAGGUUUUUAAUUGGUUUUUAUCGAUGAUUUCUGAAGAUAUAUUUCGGCAGAUGAACUAAUCCUUCAAUUUAAGAGAUUAAAUUGCCAUUUUACAAAUUUCAAUGAUUAUAUUAUUACCUAAUCUUAAAUAUAAUUUUUAGGGCUAAAACGAUGAUUCACUCAAUAUAUAUUGUGAUUUCUUAUUUUUUUUAUGAUAUAAAGAUAGCUGAAGUUGUGUGAUAUACAAAGUUAUAUUUCCUUUGGAAGAUAAGAGUCCCCCACCAUAUUGACAUGAAAGUGAACGUGGGAAAAUAUGUGCAAUUAAGGUUCCAAAUAUUAAACAAUAGCCACAAUAAUUGUCUAUAACUCAUAACAAAUAUAAGAACUUGAUAAGAAAAAUAAUAAAUAUAAGAACAUGAGCAGGCCAUAGUUUUUUAGCCCGAGAAGCUUCAUCUUCUUUUUAAGUCUAACAUUUUUUAAUCUUCAUUCAAAGAAGAUUGGUGAUUUUGGGAUAUUUUUAUAAGAUAGGUAAAUAAUGAAAUUUGUGUUGUACUCGAAGAAAUCUACCACACGAUUUGAAUGAAUAUAUUACUUUUAGUCAAAAUAAAUUAAAAUAAAGAAUGUAACAUUUCAAACUCACUCACAUAUAAAGAAUGAAUUUACAAUCUUUAAAACACAAAUAUUUAAUCCUUAAAUCUAACACCUCUCUUAGUUUUAGCGAAAUGAACUUUGUGUUGUACUCGAAGAAAUCUACCACACAAUUUGAAUGAAUAUAUUACUUUUAGUCAAAAUAAAUUAAAAUAAAGAAUGUAAAAUUUCAAACUCACAUAAAAAGAAUGAAUUUACAAUCUUUAAAACACAAAUAUUUAAUCCUUAAAACUAACACCUCUCUUACAUUUAUUUUGUUUACGUACCUUUAUUUUGUUUUCAAAUACUUAUAUUUAGUUGAAUUCCUUCAUUAUACUCUUUUUAAUGAAUUUUCUGAACAAAAUAAAAUUGUGUUACUCAGUCACUCAAAUUAGAGUGGAUAGAGCAAUGAAAAUAUUUAUUACUAUGUAGUUUAUAGUUGGAGUGAUCGGAUAGUCUAGUGGGAUCUUAGCCACUCUCGUUUGACUCACUUGGAGCAUGUCAAAAAUAUUUUUUUGAAAAUGAACGAUGGAGAUUUACUUUGCACUAGGUCCAGUGAAAAAGAUAUGGGAGAUAAUCCCAAUCUUAGCUUAUUGGGUAGGCCAGUGUUGAGAAUGGAUUCUCUCAAAUGUAAUUAUCUCACUAGUCUAAUUACCAACACAAUCAAAGAGAAAAAAUAGUGGGAUGUAAGUAAAAAAUCCAUAUUCUACUUACUCAAUCAUCUAUACAAGCUACUUUAAUUAUCUAGUCGAACGUUACGAGCGUUACAAGAGAAAUCAGAAUAUCGAUGAUCAAAAUCCUUCAAAGCAAAAGAUGUUGUUGUGUGCAAGUGUGAGUUAUAUGCCCCACAUCGGAUAAAAGAGUAAAGGUUGAACACCUUAUAAGUAAGAGGACCAUAAACCCAAAGCCUUAAGGUUUUGGGUAAGAGUGUGGUGUCUCCCUUGCUUGUCUGGUUGUUCUAGCCUCGAUGUGGACGCUCCCCCAAGCUCCCCUCGCUGACCCAACAGUGGUAUCAGAACCCCGGUUCGAUGAAGGGUACGACUGAGGCCGCCUGUCAGUUGUGCAGAAAGCAGCAACGACGGUACAAGCAACAAGUGGCUUCUUGUGCAGCAACGGCUAUACAUGCAAAGUAAAAAGCUUCCACGCGGUACAAGCAACAAGUGGCUUCUUGUGCAGCAAUGGCUAUACAUGCAAAGUAAAAAGCUUCCACUCUAGGGGAGCGACUCACGCUUGAGGGGGAGUGCUGUUGUGUGCAAGUGUCUGUUAUAUGUCUCAAAUCGGAUAAAAGAGUAAAGGUUGAACAUCUUAUAAGUUAGAGGACCCAUAAACCCAUAGCCUUAAUACUGUCCUUUUUGCAUAUUUAGCCCCCCCGAAACCAAUUUUAACCAAUUCAACGAUGACGUGGAUGUCACGUGUGUAAUGCUUUAAUUAUUUUAGUUUUAGAUAGAUACAGAGAGAGAGGUGUCAUAUGUCAAAAAAAAAAAAAGAUAGAAAAGAUUUCCUUCCUUGAAUCGUUGAGGUAACUACAAACUAAGACAAUGAUGUUAUUGGUUACUUGUUUCUAAUACCUUUGAAAAAGAUAGUUAGACCAAUGUAUUGGUCAUUAACUCUUUUCAAUGGUUACUACCCUAGUGUCUAAGGUGAGUCAUAACAACGUCAAAGUAAGUACAAUUAUUAUUAAUUUAUGUCUACACCUAAUCAAUAAUUGAAGGUUAAGAUAGGUCAAGCCAACAAAGUUAAGGUUAAGAUAAUCAUUUUCACCUAAAUUGAUUUAUGAACAUAUGUUAAUGAUGACAGUCCGUCAUAUCACAUUUUUAGAGUCUUUUCAAUUAAGUUUUUAUUCUAAUUUUAUUAAUUUAGUACUUAAUUUAGAGUCAUUUUAAAUAAAUUGUCAUUUUCUUAUUAUUGAGUCAACUAGUGUAUUAUUACUAUUAUUAUUGGUCAAUUAGUGGCUAGUAAAGAGAAUGAAACAAAAACAUGGUUUUGUGAUGGAUGUGAUUGGCCAAGAAAAAUGAUAACAAGUUGAACGAAAGAAAAGAAGACCACACAAUGUUGCAUUAGGGUGCAGGAAUCAAAACCAAUAUAAUUGGGCUUUCUUUCAUGGACGUUGAACCAAGAAAAAGAAAAGAAAAGAUAACUUGCUGCAUAAUGUUAAUUUGGAAAGAAAAAUAGGUUUGACAAGCUAUAAAAGGAGACCACGCACAGGAACAAAGCAGACGAUUGGGAAAGAAAGAGCAGCACGCGGUACGAGACAAAAGGAGGAGGAGAAAAGCUCAUGGAAUUUGGAAUAUGCAACAGUACUGAUUAAAUAGAACAAAGCCGGUAGACCAUAAUUCGAUCGGUUUAUUUCUUUUAGUAUGUUGUUUAUUCCUUUAAUAUGUCUAGUUAAUUCCAUUUGAUUGAGUCACGAUGAACCUAUUGUAAUAUAUGAAUCAGUAGUUAAAACUCUUUUUAUUAUCAAUAUUAUUCAGUCUUUAUUCAGAAUUAUCUGUGUUCAUUGCCUUUCAUAUGAUUGUUUGCAUUGUUUGCAUUGUUUGCAUGACUAUUAACCCUAACUUCUUACAAUCACAUAAAUUGAUCUUAGGAAUUGAAUGACUACUAACCCUAACUUUUAAUCCUGAAAUAAUAAUUCUGUUUAAUUCAACAUAGGAACCUAGAGAUAGGAAAUUGAGGAUUAUGACAUAUAACGUUCUAACAUCGCUUCCGCGGUUAUUCAACCAGUUUAAAAGAUUAAAAGGUUAUAACUUAGGAAAUGGUUUUGAGUCAAGAGAUUGAUCAAAACUAAUUAGUUAAUUUGUCGUAAAGAUUGAAUAAGUGUUGAGAGCAAAGAGAGAUAAACUAUUUCACAUAAAACAAUAGAGGAUUUACCGGCUGAUCAUCUGUUUUAAUCCAAUUAUCAAACCAUUUUAUUUUAUGUUAUUUACUUUUUAUUGCACACAAACGUACUGCCUCAUACACUUAUAAAAUUUACACAUCCUAGAUAUUAACUUUAUUGCUAGUUUGAGAUUAACACAGUCCUCGUGGAUACGAACUUAUUUUAUUACUUCGAUAGUUUUAGUACACUUGCUAAAAUAUUUAUGAGUUAACCAAUAAAGAGUAUCAAGAACAACUUUAACCGAAUAAAAUAGAAAAGUAAUUAAAUGAAAUUUAUAGAAUUAUUCAAAGUUACAUAAUCAAACAAUUACGAGGAAGUUCUUAUUUCAUGACCUAACAUAUAUAGUAUUAGCUACUCAUAGAUUUUCUAAACAUAUAUAAAUAGAUAUGAAGAAGAAAGCAUGAGAAAAGGAUCAGCAAGUGAGGAUUAAUUGGCUCCCUAAUGGCCGUGGUCACUCCAAUCCUUCCAAAAUUGUGUUUCUGCCUUCGUCUUCUCGCUAAAAAGUAUUUUCCACUAACUUAGGUUUCAAUAUUUAUAGGUGUGCAUUUCCUUAAGUUUUUGGGAAAUUGGCACACGAUGCGAUCCUAUUCCUCAUGAUGCGAGGAUAACAUAACUAAUCUUGUUGGCCUCACGUUUAUUGUCCCGAUGCAAAGCUCAUGAAGAUUGAUACGAUUCAAGGAAAUGUGAUUUGAUUUAACCAAGCAAAAACCAAGAUCAUAGGAUAACAAUGAUACGAUUCAAAGAAGUGUUAACUUGAUUCACAGUAAUACAAUUCAAAGAAUCAUGAAUCGUUUAAAAAUUUAUGGAAAAUUAGCAGAAACUUUUCAUGAUAAGAUUCAAAAAAGUUUGAAUUGAAUCAAUUGGUUAGAAAAACAUUUUGACCAAGAAAAAUGAAGUUUUCUUUAUACAAACAAAACACAAGACAACAAGGGAUCAUAUGAUUUAUGAGGCAAGAUUUCUAGGUAUGCUUUAACAUGAUAUUAGUCAAUAACAACUAAUAUCUAAACAUCAUCAAAUAAAAACUACCUAAUGAACAUCAUAAAAACACAAACCUAUAACUACACAACUUCAUCCAACUUAUUGGGUGUACCGCAUUAACUAGAUAAUGGUCAUAUCUAUACUAUAUAUAAAGAAAAUAACAUGUUUUUCAAGGUGAGAAAAACACGAGAGGGGGGGGGGGGGGGGGUUGAAUUGUGGUUUCUUUCUCUUCUCCUAAAACCGAAUUCACUAUUCAGAACUUGAUAGAGUUCAGCUUCUGAAGUAGUGUUCAGAGUCUAGUUGCAGCGGAUAAGAAAAGAGAGAGAGAGAGAGAGGCAAGACACAAAGCAACUAUACAGAUUCCUUCCACAAACCGGAACUAGUCAUGUCCCCCUUGCACCUCCAAGAAGAGUUCACUAAAAUCAAUAUUCGAUUACAAUUGCUCAGGGCUCAAAAUAGCAAGAGACUUCAAACUACUCAAGAACAACUACAAGAGAUUUCCUAUGCUCAAGAACAAAAUCAAGAGACUUCCUAUGCUCAAGCACAACUGCAAGAGACUUCAUACAAAUCAGAUAAGACUCUUAAGAUUCUAGAAUUUCUAAAAUAUGAAAGUUGAUAAGAAAUUCUAAGUGAACUUUGAUGUGAAACAUUUUUAGCAGAGUUUUGGCACUUGUAAAAUUGUUGUAAGUCUCUUAGAAAUCUUCAAGUCUUCACUCCUUUAUAUAGAGGUGUGAAAGAGACGUUGUUGAUUUCCAACACAUUAAAAGAGUCGUUAUUGAAGCUUGAUCAAAUUUCAAUUCCAUUCCAAGUAUAGAGGAAUACCAGCGUAGUCACAAUUGUUGUUCUUGUACUAUUGCAGACAGAAAACAGAGUAGUGGAGAAGGUGGUUGUACAAUUGUACUAUUGUCCUUUUCCAAUGUUCUUCAAGGGAUAAGCAUCCAAUGACUUCAAAUUCCUCUUAAUUAGUUGUUGCUCUAGACUUCUAUUCCUUCUGCAAUGAUAGGCAUGAUAAUAACAACUCUUGACAAAUAUUGAAGCUUCCAGUCUUUCAGCUUAUGAUCUUAAACUUCUAACGACGUCAGCUUCUGGUAGUCUCCAGCUUAUGAUAAAAGUGCUUCUGAUGAUGUCAUCUUCAGAACCUCUUUGUCUUCAAAACCUCUUUUCCUUCAGAUGGUUCCUUGCAACUCAAGCUUCCUUUUUUUAAAUUCCAUUGCUCUCAUUUGUUCUUCUAGAACCCAUGCUUCAUUUAAAGACACUCAAAUUUUUGUAUAUGGUCCUGCACACUUGAACAAAUAUUAUCAUAUCCAAUUGAAUUUUUUUAAUACCUUGUUAUCAUCAAAACUUAAAGGGUAAUGUUAAACACAUUUUGUUCCAACAUUUUUGACUCUUUUAGAAUGACUUUUUCUCUUUCCAAAAUUACCAUCAACUUUCAAUACAAAUAACACAUACAACAAGAAUUGUGUUAUUUGAACAUCCAUAUAUGCGACAACUUUUGUGACAACCAAAAUUUUACAAAGAAAAUGAAGUAGUGGCACAAAAACCAAAGCAAUAGAGAGAGAAAGUAAAAAGAUAAUGUGAGUAUGAGAGAGAAAGUUGUCACAAAAGUUGUAAAAAAUAGUUGUUCAAAUAUCAUUUCUCCAUACAACAAAUAGAUGAGAGUAAAUUCAAACAUUAAAAUAAAAUUGUAAUACACACGAUAUGAGUAUAUAUGUCCAGUUUUUUCCUUUAUCAUUUAAAAAAUGUAACAAACAAGAUGAGAAUAUCAGAGAGAUGAGAGAUAGUGACGUGAGACAAGAAAGACCUCUCCGUGGCCCGCCUUUGCUUGAACGGUGGUAACCGCACCAGAAUUUAUCUCCAUUUGAGAGAUACACUAGGGGGUAGGUAUGCAGCCUGGGUGGUAGAAAAUGGGGGGGGGGGGGGGGGGGGUAUGGGUGAUUGGUCUGUAGUUAGGUCACGAAAGAGGAAAGCGACGCAAUCGGAAGAUCGAGGAAGGGACAAGUCAAGGGUUUCAGAGCGACGCGGAGGCACGGUAAGGGUUAGAGGGAUCGCACAUAAUGAUUACGGGUUUGAUGGCAGAGAGGCGCGACAAUCAGCAAGGGCUCUUCAUGAUCAGCAAGGUUUGGGUCGUUAUCAGUUUGGAAACAACGAUUUGGCUUUCGACAGAUGCGGGUCUGAUGCUAUCAUGGGAAAAGGCUUCUUCGACGACAAACAUAACAAUGGUAGUAAAAUUACUUUCUAUUUUGCAAACAUUCCUGAUUAUAUGCCGUUGUUUCGUCUCCGUCAAUACUUUGAAGUGUGUGGUAUUUUGUCUGAUGUCUAUGUUGCCAGACAACUAAAUUCACGUGGUCAGGUCUAUGGCUUCGUUAGAUUUUUGAAUGUGAGGAACAAGGACAAAUUAGCACAAGAUUUGAAUAAUGUAUGGAUUGGUGACUUUAAGGUCUGGGCGCGUGAAGCAAAAUUUGAUAGGUUUGCACAAUAUGAUGAUGAUCAUAGGGUGUCUAUGCAUGGUGAUAGAAGGGAUGAGAAUGGAGGGGAGAGGAGGCCGGUGGUGAGAACUAAUGGUGAUGGAGUAAAAAAUAUGAGGAUGUGUAAUUUUAAAAAAAUAGGAGGGAUAAUAAAAAUAGUUGUUGGUCUCAUUUUAAAAAAAAAUAAAAAAAUUGUUUAUAUAUUUUUGUUAUAUUAUCGGUGUCAAUGAAAUGGAUAAUCAUGGUUAAUUUGAUUUGUUAUAAUUUGAAAGCAACACACAUUUAUAUCUUUAAUUUUAAUCAAAAUCAAAAUGUUAUAAAAAAUACUAUUGCUAAUUUUCAAAUGUUAACACAAUAAAAAGAGCAGAAAGACGGAGUGCCCGUCUUUUCACUAGUUAUAAUAAAAGAAAUUUUAUUUGAUGUAUUGAUAAUGAUACUGAAACUUUUUACACAUACAUCCAAACAUUAUUCAUGACAUCACUUUUAUACAAGUUCUAAAAUAUCGCUGUAACAAAAAGGUUAAAAAACAACUCAUGAAAUAUGUACAUGAUUUAAUUGAAUAUAUGUGUAAAAGAAAUUAUAUAUCAACAUCUAUAAAUUAAAUUUAUUAUUGAAAUGAAAUACUAGUAAAAAUGAUGGCCAGCAUUUAUGAAAAUAAAGGUCUAACUGAUCAUGGGCCAAUUUAAAUCAAAAGUAGAUUUGUGCCCUCUAAAGGGUACUAGAAUAUAAAAGAUGGACGGCAAACAAGGGACACAAAGAAUAGAGAUGCUCAAUUUAAAACACAACUUCGAUUUUUUUUUUAUUUACUAAAAAAUAACUUAGAUUGUUUAGAGAAGAUAGGAAUUCAAUUAGUCUGACAACAUAUUUUGGAAGUACAAUUAGUUUCACAAUUAACUAUUUUGAUAAUCCUCCUUAUUAAAAAAAAAUUAAUAUUCCAUUUCGUCAAAUAAAACAAAAAGUUAGGGAGUGAUGAGAGAUCUUAGUCAAUAUUGUUUUGCACCAUAAUAUUUUUGAGAGAUUGAUUUGGCAUUUACAUGCUUCCAACAAAUACAAUGUAACAAGUGCUUAUAAUUAUAUGAUAUCGUCUCUUAAUAUUGUGACAGCUGAUCACUUAAACACAAUUUGGAACAACGAGGUCCCUCUGAAAGUUAGUCAUUUUACAUGGAGUUUGCUCUGUAGCCGAUUACCAACAACAAAUAAUUUUAUCAGAAGGCACAUUCUUAAUCAUAAUGUUCAACUUUGUGUAGGCUUUUGUGGUAUAAUGUAAGAUAUAGACGAUCUAUUUCUCUCUUGUGAUUUUUUUGAAAUUUUUUAGAUUGGUAUCUAUAAUUGGCUCGGCUUUACUAUGGUACAUCCAGAACAUCCGAAUAACUUUUCAACUCAUAUGGUUAACUUGUGUUUGGGUGAUUUGAUGGGAAAGAAAUGCUUGAAGUUUUCGCAAUCAAGAAGAAUCGUUACAACAUCUUCUUGACAAAAUUAAGCUUCAAUCCUAUUAGUGGUUGAAAGCGAAUAGAAUUUUCGCUCAAUUUUAAUAAAGUGGAUACUAUAUGAGAUUUUCGCUCAAUUUUUUAUGAGUAUGGACUGCACUUGGCGUUAGUCAUUGAACUCAUUUUACGAGACUCAAGUUCCAACUUAAGCCAAAAACUGAAACCAAACAAAUGAAGUAAAAAACUCAAGUUCCAAACUAAUGCGUGAUUUUAGUCAAAACAAUGUUUAUUUUUUGACAGUAGUUAGUUUUGGAUUACAGCUAUAUCCCUACACCCCACAAACUAUACCCCUCUCACCAAUAGACAAAACAAAAGAGUAGGUGGAAGGGUACAUAAUUAAGAAAAAGUUAUGUGAAAAACAAUAUUUUCUAUAGCCAAAACCAAAAGAUAUAUAUUGCAUUAUUGCAUAUAUACCAAUAAAAGAAGUACUGUGAAAUACAAGAUAAUGGCAUUAGAUUAGAAAUGGCCAAUUUGAUCUGUCUAUUUUUAAUCAUAUUAUUUAGAUUUGUUCAAUCUUUUACCAAAUCUUAUUUAGUUAUGCAAAAAGCAACACCUCUCGUUGAAAGAUAAUAAUAACGAUUUUUGGCAUAUGUUACUAAUAUUGAUUGAAAAAUGUUACCAAAUGAUGCAACUUCCCAACUCCAAUCCACUCAUAAUUUCAAACUUCGCUACCAUAUGAAAACAAAAUCACAGGUAGAAAUGUGUUGGAAAUCCUCAACAACUAUUGACUUUUGGUACAAAAGAGUGCCAAGUCAUUACUAAUUCAAGAUUGAGACAUGCAGCUGUGAGUGGAUUCACUAAGAUCACGACUAGUAUAAAAGGAGCUGGUCACACUUGUAUUUUAUGCACCAAAUUAUAAGUCACUAACAUGGCUUCCUCAAACUUUCUAAUGAUGCUCCUCUUUGCUCUCUUUGUCAUCCCUAAGGGGUUUGCCAACUACGAGAAACCUCCAGAGUAUCAUCCACCAGUUGAAAAUCCCCCAUUUUAUAAACCACCGGUAGAGAAACCACCUGUGUAUAAACCACCAAUAGAGCAACCUCCAAUUUAUAAGCCACCUGUAGAAAAUCCUCCAAUUUAUAAACCACCAGUAGAGAAACCACCCGUGUAUAAACCACCGUUUGAGAAACCUCCAAUCUACCAUCCACCAGUAGAGAUACCACCAGUGUACAACCCACCAGUUGAACAUCCUCCAAUUUACAAGCCUCCUGUAUACAAACCACCAGUAGAGCAACCUCCCGUCUAUAAGCCACCAGUAGAGAAGCCUCCAAUUUACAAGCCACCAGUAGAGAAACCUCCUGUUUACCAACCUCCUGUUUACAAGCCCCCAGUUGAGAAACCUCCAGUGUACAAGCCACCUGUAGAAAAGCCACCAGUGUACAAGCCACCUGUAGAAAAGCCACCAGUGUACAAGCCACCUGUAGAAAAGCCUCCUAUAUACAAACCACCAGUAGAGAAACCACCAGUGUACAAACCACCCGUUGAGAAACCCCCGGUUUAUAAGCCACCAGUAGAGAAACCACCUGUGUACAAGCCACCAGUUGAGAAGCCCCCAAUUUACAAGCCACCAGUAGAGAAACCACCUGUAUACAAGCCACCAGUUGAGAAGCCUCCAGCUUACAAGCCACCAGUUGAGAAGCCACCUGUAGAGAAACCACCAGUGUACAAGCCACCGGUUGAGAAGCCCCCAAUUUACAAACCACCAGUUGAGAAGCCUCCAGUGUACAAGCCACCGGUUGAGAAACCACCUGUCUACAAGCCACCUGUAGAAAAUCCACCUGUUUACAAGCCACCAUUUGAGAAACCUCCAAUUUAUAAACCGCCAAUAGAGUAUCCACCCGUGUACAAGCCCCCUUUUGAGAAACCCCCCAUCUACAAGCCACCUGUAGAGAAACCUCCUUUUUACAAGCCUCCGUUUGAGAAUCCACCAUUUUAUAUACCUCCAGUUGAGGAGC